rnacentral:rRNA from 1 species
AUGGAUCUCGAGCAGCGGCGGCCGAUGCGCGCAUGCGGCGGUGCUUGGCUGGGGGCCGCGGUGGCCUUCCCUCGCGCGCCGGUGUCUCCAUCGACGCCGCUGGAGGCUGGCUGCUGCUGCUGGGGGCGGUGGGCGGUGCUCGCGGUGGGCGGAAGCCGGGGCGGCGGCCUCGGAGCUUGGGCGUCUGCUGGGCGACGCAGCGGGGCUGGCUACGAACAGUUGCGCGGUGAAUCAAGGGAUUCGGUGCUCUGUUCCGGAGUUGGCAGAGGAUGCGCCUUGGUCAGGCGCGGGCGGCGGCUUGGCCGCGAGGGGCGUGGCUCGUGUGUGUUUGCGUUGUGCGGAUCUGUGGUGGCGAGGACGCCAAUGGUGGAGCUGGCGUCGAUCUGGCGUCGCGAGGAUCCUGGGAUGAAGCUGCUGCAGAUCUGUGGAGGUGCACAGCAUGGGCGCGCGGAGGGCCCGGGCAGCGCCGUCGGCGUGGCUCGGAGGCCCGUGGUGCGUGGAGGUUCGGGCGUGGCGGAUCCGGUCUCCAGCGGAUGCGACGGUGUGCGUGGUGCCCGCCUGGUCGGCGUGCUCCUGCUGCUUCGAUGGGCGGUCAGUGCGGAUUUGAGGCGAGGCAAGGAUGCCGGGGCGGCGGCCCCGGAGCGAUGGCUGCAUCGGCAUGGGCUGCUGCGGCGGCUGGGGACGGUGGAUUUGGGGCGAUGCUCGCGGAUCUGA